rnacentral:rRNA from 1 species
CCUACGGGAGGCAGCAGUAGGGAAUCUUCCGCAAUGGACGAAAGUCUGACGGAGCAACGCCGCGUGAGUGAUGAAGGCUUUCGGGUCGUAAAACUCUGUUGUUAGGGAAGAACAAGUGCUAGUUGAAUAAGCUGGCACCUUGACGGUACCUAACCAGAAAGCCACGGCUAACUACGUGCCAGCAGCCGCGGUAAUACGUAGGUGGCAAGCGUUAUCCGGAAUUAUUGGGCGUAAAGCGCGCGCAGGUGGUUUCUUAAGUCUGAUGUGAAAGCCCACGGCUCAACCGUGGAGGGUCAUUGGAAACUGGGAGACUUGAGUGCAGAAGAGGAAAGUGGAAUUCCAUGUGUAGCGGUGAAAUGCGUAGAGAUAUGGAGGAACACCAGUGGCGAAGGCGACUUUCUGGUCUGUAACUGACACUGAGGCGCGAAAGCGUGGGAAGCAAACAGGAUUAGAUACCCUGGUAGUCCACGCCGUAAACGAUGAGUGCUAAGUGUUAGAGGGUUUCCGCCCUUUAGUGCUGAAGUUAACGCAUUAAGCACUCCGCCUGGGGAGUACGGCCGCAAGGCUGAAACUCAAAGGAAUUGACGGA